AAUAGUACCCUGGUAGUCCACGCCGUAAACGAUGAGUGCUAAGUGUUGGAGGGUUUCCGCCCUUCAGUGCUGCAGCUAACGCAUUAAGCACUCCGCCUGGGGAGUACGACCGCAAGGUUGAAACUCAAAGGAAUUGACGGGGGCCCGGCACAAGCGGUGGAGCAUGUGGUUUAAUUCGAAGCAACGCGAAGAACCUUACCAGGUCUUGACAUCCUUUGACCACUCUAGAGAUAGAGCUUCCCCUUCGGGGGCAAAGUGACAGGUGGUGCAUGGUUGUCGUCAGCUCGUGUCGUGAGAUGUUGGGUUAAGUCCCGCAACGAGCGCAACCCUUAUUGUUAGUUGCCAUCAUUCAGUUGGGGCUACGUCUAGCAAGACUGCCGGGUGACAAACCGGGAGGAAGGUGGGGAUGACGUCAAAUCAUCAUGCCCCUUAUGACCUGGGCUACACACGUGCUACAAUGGGAAGUACAACGAGUUGCGAAGUCGCGAGGCUAAGCUAAUCUCUUAAAGCUUCUCUCAGUUCGGAUUGCAGG
rnacentral:rRNA from 1 species